rnacentral:rRNA from 1 species
GUUCUUUGCUUCCGUAGGUGAACCUGCGGAAGGAUCACUUUCGAAUAUUAGGACGUUCAAUUUAACUUGAAGUCCGAACUCUCACUUUCUAACCCUGUGCAUUUGUUUUGGUUAGUAGGAUAUCUCGGUAUCCGAACACCUCUUCAUUUACAAACACUAAGUGUAUGAAGGUGUAAAUUUUAUAACAAAAUAAAACUUUCAACAACGGAUCUCUUGGCUCUCGCAUCGAUGAAGAACGCAGCGAAAUGUGAUAAGUAAUGUGAAUGGCAGAAUUCAGUGAAUCAUCGAAUCUGAGAACGCAUAAGGCACUUUAAGGUAUUCCGGAGAGUAAUCAUGGAAGAGUGUCAUGAACUCUUCAACCUUCCCUUUUCCGGAGGACAUGAGAGGUGUUGGGACUUUGAGUGCUGCUCGUAACCCGAGGUCAUGGGUAAUGCAUUAGCAUCGGGAGCAGGCCUUGGGAUUGACGGGAGUAAUAGCAGGUUCGCGGGGGAAGUAAAUAUCGGUCAGAGCGGAGGCCAAGUAGGAAGCUAGUAAUUAAGCCUUACUAUAUCUGAAGAAUAGACCUCAGAUCAGCAGAUGCUAAU